rnacentral:rRNA from 1 species
GACGAACGCUGGCGGCGUGCUUAACACAUGCAAGUCGAGCGGUAAGGCCCUUCGGGUACGACGAGCGGCGAACGGGUGAGUAACACGUGGGUGACCUGCCUUUAGCUCUGGGAUAAGCCUGGGAAACUGGGUCUAAUACCGGAUAUGACCUCAUGACGCAUGUUGUGGGGUGGAAAGCCUUGUGCGGCUAGGGAUGGGCCCGCGGCCUAUCAGCUUGUUGGUGGGGUGAUGGCCUACCAAGGCGACGACGGGUAGCCGGCCUGAGAGGGCGACCGGCCACACUGGGACUGAGACACGGCCCAGACUCCUACGGGAGGCAGCAGUGGGGAAUCUUGCGCAAUGGGCGAAAGCCUGACGCAGCGACGCCGCGUGA